rnacentral:misc_RNA from 1 species
CACAAUAGUAUACAAAUGCAUACCAAAAAGUCUGAAACAAAAAAGUGUGAAGGAGAAAUAAUAUUCCGAUUACACGAGGACGGCAAAUCAUAUAACGAGGUUGCCGAAAUUGCGAACAGAAGUAAGUCCACGAUACAUUAUAUCAUAAAAAAUCAAAGAAUAAGGGAAUACUUGCAAACAAAGCUCGAUCAGGUCGACCAAAAAAAUUGGCUGGAAGAGAGGAGAGAGUUAUCAUUCGCGAAUUAAAAAAGAUUCUACUACAUCCG